AGCUGAUUAACUGAAACAGACACGCCAGCUAAUUUUAAGUGAAAUUUUGUUUCAUCCCUAGAUUAAGUUGUUUGAGAUAAAGGAGGACUGUGAGAGUCUGAUGGCAGCUCUUUCUGAGAACAUGCUGAUAGUCAUGUUACUGAGUGUCUUCUUCCUUCCAGGGGUUUUGGAGAGUUGCUCAUCACACCUCUUCAUUACUACACCCAAGAAGAUGGAAGCACUGAUUGGCUCAUGUUUGCAGGUCCCAUGUAGCUUUUCAGCUGAAUCAGGAUUUGCUUCUUUUGACAGCAGUAAAGAAACCCUUGGAUUAUGGAUUAAAGAUGGUAAUAAUGUUGUAUUCAACAGUGGAACGUCAAAUAACCCCUAUCCAAUGAAAAUUAUCGGAAAUCUGAAUCAGAGAAACUGCACUACUCUGUUUUCUGAUCUACAAAUGAGUUAUGCACACAAAUACUCCUUCAGAAUUGAGAAUGGACUUUACAAGGCAACAGAUGUUUGUAAAACCCUUCAUAUAACAG